UUCAUUUCACGCGUGUUUGGGUGUUCUAAUAUUGUAUAAUGUCCUUUAUAUUUUUUGGGUCUUUAAUGAAUAUUUAGAUUAAAUGAUAAUUGCAUGUGUACUAUAGUGGCUACUCAUGCUGCCAAGCAGUUGCUUCUAGAUGUUGAGUUUUUUAAUAAAUUAAUAUUCUUGAAUUGGGAGCACUAAACAGAUACUAUUUUGCUUUUCAUUGCUAUUUGUUCUCU
rnacentral:lncRNA from 1 species